CCGAGUUUACAACUCCCAAACCCAAUGUGAACGUUACCAAACUGUUGCCUCGGCGGGAUCUCUGCCCCGGGUGCGUCGCAGCCCCGGACCAAGGCGCCCGCCGGAGGACCAACCAAAACUCUUAUUGUAUACCCCCUCGCGGGUUUUUUACUAUCUGAGCCAUCUCGGCGCCCCUCGUGGGCGUUUCGAAAAUGAAUCAAAACUUUCAACAACGGAUCUCUUGGUUCUGGCAUCGAUGAAGAACGCAGCGAAAUGCGAUAAGUAAUGUGAAUUGCAGAAUUCAGUGAAUCAUCGAAUCUUUGAACGCACAUUGCGCCCGCCAGUAUUCUGGCGGGCAUGCCUGUCCGAGCGUCAUUUCAACCCUCGAACCCCUCCGGGGGGUCGGCGUUGGGGAUCGGCCCUUUACGGGGCCGGCCCCGAAAUACAGUGGCGGUCUCGCCGCAGCCUCUCCUGCGCAGUAGUUUGCACACUCGCAUCGGGAGCGCGGCGCGUCCACAGCCGUUAAACACCCCAAACUUCUGAAAUGUUGACCUCGGAUCAGGUAGGAAUACCCGCUGAACUUAAGCAUAUCAAAAACGGGAGGAAA
rnacentral:rRNA from 1 species